rnacentral:rRNA from 1 species
GUGCCUAAUACAUGCAAGUCGAGCGAACUGACGAGGAGCUUGCUCCUUUGACGUUAGCGGCGGACGGGUGAGUAACACGUGGGUAACCUACCUAUAAGACUGGAAUAACUCCGGGAAACCGGGGCUAAUGCCGGAUAACAUAUCGAACCGCAUGGUUCGAUAGUGAAAGACGGUCUUGCUGUCACUUAUAGAUGGACCCGCGCCGUAUUAGCUAGUUGGUGAGGUAACGGCUCACCAAGGCAACGAUACGUAGCCGACCUGAGAGGGUGAUCGGCCACACUGGAACUGAGACACGGUCCAGACUCCUACGGGAGGCAGCAGUAGGGAAUCUUCCGCAAUGGGCGAAAGCCUGACGGAGCAACGCCGCGUGAGUGAUGAAGGUCUUCGGAUCGUAAAGCUCUGUUGUUAGGGAAGAACAAAUGUGUAAGUAACUAUGCACAUCUUGACGGUACCUAACCAGAAAGCCACGGCUAACUACGUGCCAGCAGCCGCGGUAAUACGUAGGUGGCAAGCGUUAUCCGGAAUUAUUGGGCGUAAAGCGCGCGUAGGCGGUUUUUUAAGUCUGAUGUGAAAGCCCACGGCUCAACCGUGGAGGGUCAUUGGAAACUGGAAAACUUGAGUGCAGAAGAGGAAAGUGGAAUUCCAUGUGUAGCGGUGAAAUGCGCAGAGAUAUGGAGGAACACCAGUGGCGAAGGCGGCUUUCUGGUCUGUAACUGACGCUGAUGUGCGAAAGCGUGGGGAUCAAACAGGAUUAGAUACCCUGGUAGUCCACGCCGUAAACGAUGAGUGCUAAGUGUUAGGGGGUUUCCGCCCCUUAGUGCUGCAGCUAACGCAUUAAGCACUCCGCCUGGGGAGUACGGUCGCAAGACUGAAACUCAAAUGAAUUGACGG